CAACGCCGCGUGUGGGAUGAAGGUCUUCGGAUUGUAAACCACUGUCGGAGGGGACGAUAAUGACGGUACCCUCCAAGAAAGCCCCGGCUAACUACGUGC
rnacentral:rRNA from 1 species